GUGUUCGUAUGUAUUUAUGGAGGAUUUUAAUAUUUGUAAACUGACAAUGCCUAUCUAAGGGAUAAAUAAAGUUAAAUUGAACUGAUUCUUCCCUUAGUGUGAGUCUGGAGAACCUGGAGAUGGAGAAGGUUCUGGGAGCGGCACUGGGCGUCCGGCGAGUGGGGAGGAACCCCAUCACUCAGGAGGGCUCCUUGUCUUCCCUCACGGAAGAGGAGGCAGGGUCCGACCCGCAGCACUACUCCGUAUUGGAGGAACAGUCCAACCAGCUGCAGGGCUGCAGUGCGUCGGCCCCAACCCUCAGUGUGGUGCGUCGCAGCAACCCUCCCAGCACGGCCCCCCGACCACGCUCCAACUGCUACGAGACUUUACCCUACGGUCAACUUGGAGGAUCCACGCAGAGUGUGGAUAGGGACCUGGGUCUUCUGCUCUGGGGGAGAGAGGGAAGCUGGACGGAGAUCACGAGAGACCGGGCCCAGGAGGAGGUGACAGGCGGCCCUUUUGUGCGCACCUUCAGUUUCCUACGCAAGAUGGCCGGCAACCGCAAGAAAGAAUGGUGCUGGAGGAGAUCCGCCUCUACCAUCACUCCUAUUAGCCAACGUGCAAUCAUUGGAUAAUAAAAUGGAUGAGCUCCUAUCAAGACUAUCCUACCAACGGGACAUUAAAAUCUGUAAUAUCUUAUGUUUCACCGAGUCAUGGCUGAACGACGACAUGGAUAACAUACAGCUGGCUGGGUUUUCGGUCCAUCGGCAAGAUGGAACCGCUGCCUCCGGUAAGACAAGGGUUAGCGGUCUGUGUCUAUCUGUAAAUAACAGCUGGUGCACGAAAUCUAAUAUUAAGGAAGUCUCAAGGUUUUGCUAGCCUGAGGUAGAGUAUCACAUGAUAAGCUGUAAGCCACACUAUGUACCAAGAGUUUUCAUCUAUAGUUUUCGUAGAUGUCUAUUUACCACCACAAACUGAUGCUGGCACUAAGACAGCACUCAAAGAGCUGUAUAAGGCCAUAAGCAAACAAGUAAAAUGCUCAUCCAGAGGCAGCGCUCCUAGUGGCCGGGGACUUUAAUGCGGGGAAACUUAAAGCCGUUUUACCUCAUUUCUACCAACAUGUUACAUGUGCACCAGAGGAAAAAAAACUCUAGACCACCUUUACUCCACACACAGAGAUGCGUACAAAACUCUCCCUCAUCCUCCAUUUGGCAAAUCUGACCAUAACUCUAUCCUCCUGAUUCCUGCUUACAAGCAAAAACUAAAGCAGGAAGUACCAGUGACUCGCUCAAUAAGGAAGUGGUCAGAUGACGCAGAUGCUAAGCUACAGGACUGUUUUGCUAGCACAGACUGGAAUAUGUUCCGGGAUUCUUCCGAUGGCAUUGAGGAAUACACCACAUCAGUCAAUUGGCUUCAUCAAUAAGUGCAUCGAUGACGUCGUCACCACAGUGACCGUACGUACAUACCCUAACCAAAAGCCACGGAGUACAGGCAACAUCCGCACUGAGCUAAACGGUAGAGUUGACGCUUUAAAGGAGCGGGACUCUAACCCGGACGCCUAUAAGAAAUCCCGCUAUGCCCUCCGAAAAACCAUCCAAACAGGCAAAGCGUCAAUAAAAGAAUACGAAUGAAUCGUGCUACACCAGCUCUGACGCUCAUCGGAUGUUGCAGGGCUUGCAAACUAUUACAGACUACAAAGGGAAGUAUAGCCGCGAGCUGCCCAGUGACACAAGCCUACCAGACGAGCUAAAUAACUUCUAUGCUCGCUUCGAGGCAAGCAACACUGAAGCAUGCAUGAGAGCAUCAGCUGUUCCGGAUGACUGUGUGAUCACGCUCUCUGUAGCCGAUGUGGGUAAGACCUUUAAUCAGGUCAACAUUCACAAGGCCGCAGGGCCAGACGGAUUACCAGGACGUGUACUCUGAGCAUGCGCUGACAGACUGGCAUGUGUCUUCAGUGACAUUUUUCAACAUAUCCCUGACCUAGUCUGUAAUACCUACAUGUUUCAAGCAGACCACCAUAGUCCCUGUGCCCAAGAACACCAAGGUAACCUGCCUAAAUGACUAUCGACCCGUAGCACUCACAUCUGUAGCCAUGAAGUGCUUUGAAAGGCUGAUCAUGGCUCACAUGAACACCAUUAUCCAAUAAACUAUAGACCCACUCCAAUUUGCAUACUGCCACAACAGAUCCACAGAUGAUGAAAUCUCUAUUGCACUCCACACUGCCCUUUCCCACCUACAGCUCAGCGUUCAGCAGCAUAGUGUCCUCAAUGCUCAUCACUAAGCUAAGGACUCUGGAACUAAACUCUGGACUCUGGAACUGAUCACCGACAACGAUAAGACAGCCUAUAGGGAGGAGGUCAGUGCCAGAAUAACAACCUCUCCCUCAACGUGAUCAAGACAAAGGAGAUGAUUGUGGACUACAGAAAAAGUAGGACAGAGCAUGCCCCCAUUCUCAUCGACGGGGCUGUAGUGGAGCAGGUUGAGACCUUUAAGUUCCUUGGUGUCUACAUUACCAACAAAUUAUCAUGUUCCAAGCACACCAAGACAGUCGUGAAGAGGGCACGACAACGCUUAUUCCCCCUCAAGAAACUGAAAAGAUUUGGUAUGGGUCCUCAGAUCCUCAAAAAGUUCUACAGCUGCACCAUCGAGAACAUCCUGACUGGUUACAUCACCGCCUGGUUUGACAACUGCUCGGCCUCCGACUGCAAGGCACUACAAAGGGAACGGCCCAGUACAUCACUGGGGCCAAACUUCCUGCCAUCCAAGACCUCUAUACGAGGCGGUGUCAGAGGAAGGCCUUAAAAAUUGCCAAAGACUCCAGCCACCCUAGUCAUAGACUUCUCCCUCUUCCACCGCACAGCAAGCGGUACCGGAGCGCCAAGUCUAGGUCCAAAAGGCUUUUUAACAGCUAGCCAUAAGACUCCUAAACAGGUAAUCAAAUGGCUACCCCCCCACCCCCAUUUUUACGCUGCUGAUACUUUCUGUUUAUUAUCCAUGCGUAGUCACUUUACCUCUACCUACAUGUACAUAUUAUCUCAAUUUCCUCGACUAACCUGUGUCCCCGCACAUCUGUACCGGUACCUUCUGCAUAUGGCCUCGCUACUGUUAUUUUAUUGUUUCUUUCCUUCUUAAUGUGUUUGAGCCAGUCAGUUGUGUUGUGACAAGGUAGUGGUGGUAUACUGGGGUGGUGGUAUAUUAUGUAAAAGACCAAGUCCAUAUUAUGGCAAGAACAGGUCAAAUAGCAAAGAGAAACAACAGUCCAUCAUUACUUUAAGACAUGAAGGUCAGUAAAUUCGUAACAUUAAGAACUUUGAAAGUUUCUUCAAGUGCAGUGGCAAAAACCAUCAAGUGCUAUGAUGAAACUGGCUCUCAUGAGGACCGCCACAGGAAAGGAAGACCCAGAGUUACCUCGGAUGCAGAGGAUAAGUUCAUUAAGAGUUACCAGCCUCAGACAUGUGGUAUUUUACCAAAUAGGGCUGUCUUCUGUAUACCACCCUUACCUUGUCACAACACAACUGAUUGGCUCAAAGGCAUUACGAAGGAAAUAAAUUCCACUAAUGAUUACACAAGCACACUAAUUAAACUGUUAAUUGAAAUGCAUUUCAUGUGAAUACCUCAUGAAGCUGGUUGAGAGAAUUGCCAAGAGUGUGCAAAGCUGUCAUCAAGGCAAAGGGUGGCUACUUUGAAGAAUCUAAAAGAUAUAUACUUUGUUGGUUGUGUUUUUUCAUAUUUUUGUAUGUCUUCACUCUUAUUCUACAAUGUAGAAAAUAGUAAAAAUGAAGAACCCUUAAAUGAGUAGGUGUGUCAACUUUUGACUGGUACUGUAUAUGUAUGUAUAGUGCAUUUGGAAAGUAUUCAGACCCUUUCCCUUUUUACAUAUUUUGUUACAUCACAGCCUUAUUAUAAAAUGUAUAAAAAAAAUAAAAAAAAUGGCAUCAAUCUGCACCCAUCAUGACAAAGUGAAAACAUGUUUUUUGACAUUUUUGCAAAUGUAUAAUAUUUAUUUUUUGAAAAUAGCUGUACAGCGACCCUGCCCAUCCAGCUUGAGACAAUCUGCAGAGAAGGAUGGGAGAAACUCCCCAAAUACAGGUAUGCCAAGCUUGUAGCGUCAUACCCAAGAAGACUCGAGGCUAUAGUCACUGCCAAAGGUGCUUCAACAAAGUACUAAGUAAAGGGUCUGAAUACUUAUGUAAAUGUGAUAUUUCUGUUUAUUUGUAAUAAAUUUGCUAAAAUUUCAAAAAACCUGUUUUUGCUUUAUCAUUAUAGGGUAUUGUGUGUAGAUUUAGGAGGGGGGGACUAAUCCAUUUUAGAAGAAGGCUGUCACGUAACAAAAUGUGGAAAAAUUUGAGUGGUCUGAAUAUUUCCAGAAUGCACUGUAUGUAUGUGGAGGUCCUGGGCUGGCAUGGUUACACGUGGUCUGCGGUUGUGAGUCCGGUUGGACGAACUGCCAAAUUCUCUAAAACGACACUGGGAGCAGCUUAUGCUAGAGAAAUUAACAUUAAAUUAUCUGACAACAGCUCUGGUGGACAUUCCUGCAGUCAGCAUUCCAAUUGCACUCUUCCUCAACUUGACACAUAUGUGGCAUUGUGUUGUGUGACAAAACCAUACAUUUUAAAGUGGCCUUUUAUUGUCCCCAGCACAAGGUGCACCUUUGUAAUGAUAAUGCUAUUUUAAAAAUGUUACUGCCACACAUAUCUGG
rnacentral:lncRNA from 8 species